CGCUCUGAUCCAUGUAUUGCUCUUUUAAUAGGCGUUAGGGCCAACUGGCCGUGACAAGUGAACGGCAAACGAAAAAGGAUAGAACCAAAAACCCUUGAACAUCCCCAAAACCCUAAAACGGAAAUUGUAGCCUGAGAGAAAAUGGAGGGAAACAUGAUGGAUGAGGGAGAAAACAACAGAGACUUGGAAGUAGCUCCAGCUCUAAUAGCAGUGCACCCGCUCCAUAAGUUCAUCGCGAUCUCCGUCGGGUCCGACCUCCGUGUCUUCGAUAUUCAAGAGGAUUGUUCUAUUUCUUUAGCGGAUGAUUCUGGUGGGCCUCUUCACAAGGAUUCUAUUAGAGCAAUUUGUUUUGGUGCAAAAGGGAAGAUAUUUGUAUCCGGCGGGGAUGACAAAUUAGUCAAAAUUUGGACCACAGAUUCCUGGCACUGCAAAAGUACGCUUUGCUCAGAGAAGAGAGUGAGUGCUGUUGCAAUAAGAAAUGAUGAACUGUUUGUUUGUUUUGCGGACAAAUUUGGAGUUGUUUGGGUUGUGGAUUUGGAUGAGUUUAAUGAAAAUCAUGCAGUUGUUCAUAAGAAGGCAACGCCAAUUCUUUCCCAUUAUUGCAGCAUCAUUACUAGCCUGGAAUUCUCUCCAGAUGGGCGGUUCAUCAUUAGUGCUGAUCGAGAUUUCAAGAUUCGAGUUACGGUGUUUCCCAAGGAGCCUUUUGAUGGAGCUCAUGAGAUACAGAGUUUUUGCCUUGGUCAUACAGAAUUUGUUUCCUGUCUUGAUUUUGGUUGCUCUCUGGAUUAUCCUGAGGGGUUUCUUGUCUCUGGAGGUGGUGACUCAACAGUUCGUUUAUGGGAUAUUGGCUGUGGUUCUCUUCUUGAUACUUGUGAUGUUGGAACCGAAGUAGCUCAUUUGUUUGGAAAGAAAAGCUGUUCGAAGGCAGGACUUUUGCAGUCCAAUGGAAGAGAAGAGGAGUGCUAUCCUGCUGUUACAGAUUUAUGUGUCACUCAUGAUGCGACAAUAGUCGCAGUAGCAGUUCAAAGCUUACAAGGAAUAAUGCUGUUGAGCUGCAACCUUGCAGAUAAAAUUCUUUCUGUUAUCAAGGUGGUUUCCAUCACCAAAGGGACCUUUAUUCCCACGAGCAUAGGAACCAGCCGUUCUGCAGAUUUCUUGUGGAUGGUUACAGGCGUCUCCAAUUUACAGGGUUUUGAUUCCCCAUCUUUGGCUCGCGUGAGGGUUGUCUCUGGUUUCAAGCAAAGCGAUCAUGAGCUUGAGCCAACGUUUCUGGAAGAUGAUGAAAUUCCUGGAAAAGGAAAACUGCUUCAAGUGUUGCAAGGAAGUGUUUCCAUUGAAGACAAGGUUUUCUUGGCAGCUGCUGAAGCUCUGAAAAUGGCAAUGAGCAAUUUGUUAAUUAAGAAGCAGUACUCUGUGGAGAGGAGAGAUUUUAGAAAGCGGAGAAGAAAUGAUAGAAAAAUGAAGCAAUAGCAUGAUUUGGAGACUUGCAGCGCCAGCUUAUUUUUGAUUGUUUUGCAGGAAAAUAUUUUUGAAUCACCCAAAGAUUUUAAUGGACAAAGGAGUAGCACUUCAAGGGUAGAAGGAGAUGAGUUACUUGUGAAUGCAGGGCGCAUAUAAUCCCAUAUCUCUACACAUAAUAAAAGAGAUCUUCAGAAAUAGACAGGCGGGUAGCUUUUGCGUGAAGGAAUAAUGUGCAUCUUAAAUGCAUUGAACUCCCGUUUUCUUUUUAUUUAAGCUUGAACUCCCGUUUUCUUUUUAUUUAAGCCUCUAUCUAACCCCCCGGGCUUACAAUUGAUCUUUUGCUCAGACUCAACCAUUACAUUCUGGAUUAUUCAAUUCACACUCUUUCCUACUUGAAAGAUUUAUUGAGUUGUACAAAGAUUACAUGGGAUUUUUUGUAUUUUUUUAUUGAGAAUGAAGGAUUCCAUUCGUACCUUCAA